rnacentral:rRNA from 1 species
UGGGGAAUUUUGGACAAUGGGCGAAAGCCUGAUCAGCCAUGCCGCGUGAGUGAAGAAGGCCUUCGGGUUGUAAAGCUCUUUUAGCCGGAAAGAAAGAGUUGCAAUGAAUAAUUGUGAUUUCUGACGGUACCGACAGAAAAAGCACCGGCUUACUACGUG